UGCAAUCAAUGGCCGUUAGAGAUCGAAUACACAUUCAAAUAGAAGUUCCCCUGAGUCCCUUAUCACACCGAUCUGGCAUGGGUCUCUCAAUAAACCGUAGUUAUAGGCCUUUACACCAGUGAUUACAUCUUCUUUAAAACAAACCACCAGCUUUGGCCUCCUACUAUGUCACCGUUCGCUGCUCCACUUCAACCAUCACCACUACCACUGUUCACCACCGCCUAUUUCAUCUCCAUCAGCCACCAAUUUAUCCAUCUCUUUAGGUUUGGUUUUCAUCUUUAUUGCAUAUGUUUGUACUUUGCUUUCUUCCAUAUCUCACCUCUUUACUCUUUAGUACGCUAAUUACCGGCCACCAUCACUACCUAUACCACAUCACCCCACCUAACCACCCCCAACAUCAAUGCUUGUUCCACCUCUUAUCAUCCAUAAAGGUAUUCUUUGACAUUUCUUAAUCUUCUUUUAUUUAUCACACUGUGUUUCUAUUUUGUUCAAACAUUGGCAUCCACUAGAAGAUGCUUAGCAUUGAAAUUUCUUAACACCACCGUCAAUCGAAGCCUAAUCGAAGUUGUUACCACCACUUCUUCGAUUGGAAGGUCAAGAGUUGAAAAAGUAUAGGAAAAUGUUUACAUUGCAGCCAAUAAAACAUCAUGUGGCAUCACAGUAAGUUUAGGGGUCAUCAGUGGAUAGACAGGUAAGCUGUUAAACUAUAUAUAUUUCAUUAUUUAUGUGAAUUGAUAACUUGACAGUGUUAUGCUCUAGAUUGAAUAAUCAUUGUGGUUUUUAUGAAAGUGGUGCACAACAAGCUGUAGGAAUACAAGUCAGGCGUUAAAACCUAAUACACUUUGAUUUUUUCUAAUGGAAGCCUGAAACUUAGAUCCAAGAAGGUCAGUCUUUUUAUUAAUAAUAAAAUUGGGAUGAACAACAGGAAAUGAAUAUCUAUAUUUUAUUUGUUCUUACAUAAACCCCUCUCUAAUUUGGUUUGUUACACUCUCGAUCUUGAUAUUUUUCAAACAUGAUAGAGGAGAAAGCCUAUGACUUCAAGCCCUAAAUUUCAACUUAAAGGUACAUCUUCCUUUCAAAUCACACUAUCAAGAGAUAAAAAAUGGAAGCAAGAUCUUUUUGGUCACUCUUUGCUAAUUAUCAGCUUUGUUUUAAGAACUUAGAAGGGCAUUAAUGUCAAAAAAACUAAGUUAUUCUUUUUUUUCUUUUUGUUAAUUUAUGUUGCAGGUAUUGGUUAGCUAGUAAUGCAAUGAUGAUUAGAUUGCGUAAUGUGAAGCUUUAGAUGGAUUUAUUUGUAAAAAAUACUUGGGAUCUCUACGAAAGUACAAACAAUAGGACCAAAACAUGAUGGUUUAUACGAAGAUAACAAAACUCGUGACGGGAAGACAAUAGUAAAAUUACCAAAAUAACCUCCAUAUUGUUAAGGUAUAAAGGGAAAGAAAAGGUGAAUGAAGGUGGUGUGGAGAAUGAACAUGUUAUUAAUUCUCCAGGGUCACCAGUAACUCAUGCUCUCUAAUAUUGUUCAUCAUAUUCUAUGUUCAAUCACCAAUCACAUGUUGCAAGCUUGAACUAAAUGCAAGAUUCCAUUGAUACAAAUAGGAUGUAAAUAGCAAUGUAUUGUCAUUGAUAUGUGAUUAUAUUUUAUUUUUACCUGAUUAUAUAAGAGUUGAAUAUUGAGAUAAAUUUAUACUUUAUAUAAGGAAAAUUUUGAACACACAUUUAGAAAGUAAUAAUCUGAUUUCAAAUAAUCACACUAGAUAAGACAUAGAACCUGGAUGUACUUUUUCAACAUUAUAAAACCCUUAAUACCUUAACAACAAGUCAAUAUAUGUUAAGUAUUAAUGAGUAAAGUUAAGUGUAAAGUGUUUUGCUCCUUUUUCGAUUUUUAUGUUAAAAAUAGACUUUUUAUAUAUGCUAAUGAGUUUGACCUAUAAUGACCUCAUGUGUUUGACUUUCAUAAAAUUGACUUUUAAUCUAAAUCAAGU